GAUGAACGCUGGCGGCGUGCCUAAUACAUGCAAGUAGAACGCUGAAGGAGGAGCUUGCUCUUCUGGAUGAGUUGCGAACGGGUGAGUAACGCGUAGGUAUCCUGCCUGGUAGCGGGGGAUAACUAUUGGAAACGAUAGCUAAUACCGCAUGACAACAGUUAUUGCAUGAUAACUGUUUAAAAGGGGCAACUGCUCCACUACCAGAUGGACCUGCGUUGUAUUAGCUAGUUGGUGAGGUAACGGCUCACCAAGGCGACGAUACAUAGCCGACCUGAGAGGGUGAUCGGCCACACUGGGACUGAGACACGGCCCAGACUCCUACGGGAGGCAGCAGUAGGGAAUCUUCGGCAAUGGACGGAAGUCUGACCGAGCAACGCCGCGUGAGUGAAGAAGGUUUUCGGAUCGUAAAGCUCUGUUGUAAGAGAAGAACGAGUGUGAGAGUGGAAAGUUCACACUGUGACGGUAUCUUACCAGAAAGGGACGGCUAACUACGUG
rnacentral:rRNA from 1 species